rnacentral:lncRNA from 1 species
UACCAGAACAUUCCAUAGACAUACACACACACACACACACACACAUACACACACACACACUCUCUCUCUCUCUCAUAUGAACCUGCACAUGUGCGUGCGCACACACAUAAACAAUAAUCUGAAAAAAGAGUGACCCAUGAAGCCUAUGUAAAGGAUGGCCUAGCUCUAUUGCUAAGAAGACAAGACGGAAGGAAGGUGGGUGGGAGGACACACUUUGAGAGACUGGGGUUGAGUCUUGGCUUUGGCAGUUACUGGGUAAGUGAUGUUCAAUGUCUAUAAAAGGACAACAAAACUCUUCUCAUAGGAUUGUCACAAAUAAAAUACAGGUCUAUAACACAUUUAUCCUGAGUCUGGCAUAGAUUAAGUUCCCUAUGAAUGAUAGCUAAUAUUAUUAGAGUUUUAGAAAUAAUGCCAUUGCCUAUGUUUUUUUCUUUUCAUAAAAUCACCCUCUUUUAUUACCCAUCAUAUCAAGAAAGGAAAAGAAGAAAAGAGGGAGAAUAGGGCUGCAUAGGCAUAAUUUUUCCAACCUUCUUUAAUAAGGGUUCAACCUCCUCUCUAGCCCACCACCGACCUGAGGUGAUGGAAAAGAAAGGUUAUUAGGAUAUGGGGGAAGUGGACCUGUUUAAAAUAGUUCUUUUGGGCGAUUCCAAGCUUUGUUGUUCUCAGUCAAGUCCAGUAGCAAACACCAAACACGAAUAAGCAGCUGCAGUCCAGUCCACUUGGCAGACAGCACACAUGAAUCAGCAAUGGCAGUUCAAUCCAGAAGAAACCACAAGGUCCACCAACUGGCCCAAGUCCGAGGAAGCCGCAAGAAGACACAGGAACCUCCUGAGAAGUUCUUUGAAGGGUUGCUUGGGAAGUGCUUUUAAAAAGCAUUUAUCAUGACAAUUUUUGCUUUUCUUUCCCCCCCUAUAGACUCUUUGUUAAGCUGCCACAAGCUAUUAAUUUGUUUGGAUUUAGAAAUAGAUUAUUUGAAACUGGGCUCUGUGCCAAAUGAUCUCCACUGAAAUCAUGAUUAACCUAAAGACCCCAUCCCCAGGGAUUAGAAUAUAUGAAUACUCUCCUUUAGCUGUGAGGUUUCAGAACAUUAGCAGGUUACUAAGGGUCAGGUCUCUAAUCAGUCAGUGCAGUUCCUAACCAGGGGCAACCAGCACUCCAGCUAGUGUCCUCUUUUCCAGAAAUAACUUAUUUCUAAUCUCUCCCUCCCAAAUGCUUCUCUGUGAUUCUCCAGGUUCACAUGGGGGACAGAAGGAACACAGUACCAUAGUCAAGGU